GCCUGGGUGGCUCAGUCGGUUGAGCAUCUGACUUCAGCUCAGAUCAUGGUCUCACAGUUUGUGAAUUCAAGCCCUGCGUCAGGCU
rfam:Felis catus isolate Cinnamon breed Abyssinian chromosome A1, whole genome shotgun sequence.